ACUCUGGCGCUCAGAAGCAGUGAUGUAUCAGAGAACUUUCUACAGUGCAAUUUCAAAUGGGAAACUCUCAUUUCAGGUCCUGAGCAACAUUCAUACUGUCCGAGCCACGUGGCAACCUAAAAAGCCCAAAACAUGGGCAUUUUCUCCCCAGGUCACUGGCAUCUUGCCCUGCUUGCUCAGUGGGGACUGUUUCAUCAGGUCCAAUUCUUCAUCUCCCGACCUCGGAAUCCUGUUUGAACUUGGAAUUUCCUAUAUCCGCAAUUCUACCGGUGACCGAGGAGAGUUAAGCUGUGGCUGGGCGUUUCUGAAGCUGUUCGAUGCCAGCGGCGCUCCUAUUCCGGCCAGAACUUACGAGCUCUUCCUGAACGGCGGGACCCCCUAUGAGAAAGGCGUGGAAGUGGACCCUUCCGUGUCCAGGAGAGCACACAGCAGUGUUUUCCAUCAGAUGCUGACCAUGCGAAGGCAGCCUCAACUUCUGGUGAAACUGAGGUCUCUGAACCAAAGAUCGAGAAACAUCCUGAGCUUCCUGCUGGAAACCUUGGUUGGAAGUAUGUGCUGCUCCCACCUGCUGGUAUUUUAUCGGCAGAUUCUUGGAGAUGCGCUGCUGAAAGACAGGACGAACUCACAGAACGCUGAGCUCAUCAGUCACCCAAUGCUGGCCUCCUUCCCCCAGCUCCUGGAGCAGCCUGAAGUGAUGGACGCGCUAAGGAGUUCAUGGGCUGAGAAAGAAAGCACACUGAAAAGAUCAGAGAAGCUGCCAACAACUAAAUCACAUGGGGACAAGGAAAGAUGAGUUUGGCCUGGGCUGUGUCCCAUACUCACAAGUGCCUGGGUCCGCUCGUGUCACUUAGAAGAACGGUGAUUAUCACAGAAGUCGCAUGGAUCUGUGAGCAGCGGUUCAACUGCGCUAACCCAAGAUCAGCAGGCGACUUCUGUAAAGGGCCGGGUGGUAAAUAUUUCACCCUGCGGGCCACACAUCUGGCGACAAGCACUGUCCUCUGCCGCCAGGAUACAAGUGCCUGAGGCUGGCCUCGGACCUCUGAGGCCCUGUGUACACACAGACACAUUUCCCCGUGGUCCUGUUUGCCAUUUCCUGAUCUAAAGUGCUGGUUAUCUGAAGUGUUGAUCUAAGUAAGGGUUGUGGGAGAACAAGCAAACCGAAAACUCUGACUGCUGGGGGUGCUAUAUCCCAUAGACUUAUUUACACAGCAUAUAAAUGUACCACAGACUUAUUUAUACAGCUUACUUGGGCUUCCCUUUGCUAUAUGACCUUUCCCACAGCUGGCACACGACCUUUGCUAAAAGGCAGGCUGCAGUACCUCAGUGUUGUCAGGGCAGUGUUUGGGUGGAGAGCGCUGCAUACGGAUUGCUCUGCCCUCAGCCAUUGUGCCCCUUGUGCCCCGGCCAUGGCCUGAUGGCCUCGGGGCUGGGUGGAUCCUCUUGAUACAGGGAGGCUCUGGUGCCCUCUGGACCACAGGACCCCCGCUUCCCAGCCCAGGCACUGCUAGAAUUCUACCAAAUCCUAACCGCCUGGAUCUCCUUUCUCUGGACCCCAUGUGUACAUCUGUCCCCCACUUACAGAAGCCAGACAGUUGUCUCUGCUAUGCUGUUACUGGGCUAAGUAGACACAGCUGACCUUGCUCUGCGUCUUAGCAGAACCACACAUUUGUCACCAGCGUUAGAUGGCAAUGCCGUGGUCUCCUGAGAGUGUGUGACACUCAAGGAGACACUCGGAGACUGUCUCAGGGAACCCCCCGGCUGUGCUCUGGGGUGGCUUUUUAGCUGUCAGGCACAAAGGGCACCUCUCCCAUGGCGCCUUGCAGGUGGCUUUUAACUAACAAGGGUCAGAAUCUCCUGCUUAAGCGUAAUGAUGUGUUCCACCCACGGUUACUCUUGCUGGCUGCCGCUGUUUCCCCAGAGGGACAGAGAGCUCCUGAAGGCCAGCUUCCUCCUGGUCUACCACGACCGUGUGCUCCCGCUGCUGCACUCCACGCUGCUGCCCCCGUUCCGGUGGGCCGAAGAAGAGACCGAGGCUGCGCGGUGGAAAAUCAUCGCUGACUUCCUCAAGCAAACCCAGGAGAACCAGGGUGCCCUGCAGGCCCUGCUGUCCAAGGACGGAGUCCAUGAGCCUUUCGACCUCUCGGAGCAGGCCUACGACUUCCUGGGUGCGGGCAGGAGGAGUCCCAGCUGAGGGUGAUCCAUGGGGAGGCCUCUCACCAAGUGGCAGAAUCCAGAGUGACCCAUUCUGACUGGGACCUGCUCUUUUUCUGUACAGAUGAUAUUUUUAAAGAUAUAUUUAAUAAUAUGAAUGCUUUUAAAAAAUAAAAUCAAUUUUAUAAGGAAUACUGUUAUAC
rnacentral:lncRNA from 1 species